rnacentral:rRNA from 1 species
GACGAACGCUGGCGGCGUGCUUAACACAUGCAAGUGGAGCGACGAACCAGGCUUCGGCCUGGGGCAAAGCCGCGAACGGGUGAGUAACACGUGGGUAACCUGCCCUGAUGACCGGGACAACCCGAGGAAACUCGGGCUAAUACCGGAUGUGCUCCCGCCACACCAGUGGUGUGAGUAAAGGUAGCUUCGGCCUCCGCAUCGGGAUGGGCCCGCGGCGCAUUAGCUUGUUGGUGGGGUAAAGGCCUACCAAGGCUACGAUGCGUAGCUGGUCUGAGAGGACGAUCAGCCACACUGGGACUGAGACACGGCCCAGACUCCUACGGGAGGCAGCAGUGGGGAAUCUUGCGCAAUGCGCGAAAGCGUGACGCAGCAACGCCGCGUGAGUGAAGAA